CGUCGCGGGCGUUGGAAAUUUGAGAGGAGCUGUCCUUAGUACGAGAGGACCGGGAUGGACUUACCGCUGGUGUACCAGUUGUUCUGCCAAGGGCAUUGCUGGGUAGCUAUGUAGGGAAGGGAUAAACGCUGAAAGCAUCUAAGUGUGAAGCCCACCUCAAGAUGAGAUUUCCCAUUUCUUUAAGAAAGUAAGAUCCCUGAGAGAUGAUCAGGUAGAUAGGUCAGGAGUGGAAGGCCAGUGAUGGUUGGAGCGGACUGAUACUAAUCGAUCGAGGACUUAACCAAA
rnacentral:rRNA from 1 species